UCAGCCCUCAUAAAAGUCGACAAACUUAAAAAUUGAUAAAUAUGGAAAACUUUGUUAACAUGCAUAUUUUAACACAUUUAAGUAAAAUUCAUAUCAACUGGACACACCAUGUGCUUAUCAGUAUAUUUAGACAAUACAUGUAGGUAACAUUUACACAUUUCUAUUUUAUUGAUGCCUUAUGAUAAUUCGAAACCUAACUGAACAUAUUAUUUUAAGUAAAUAAAAGUCAACCUUACUAUAUAAGUUGUAGCAUUUAUACACACUUAUGAAUGUAUGUACAUACAUGUGCACAAAUAAAAAUGCAUGCAAUUAUGCAUGUUCACUUUUGAGUUACAUUUCUACUUAAAUUAAAAUUAUAUUGAAUAAUUUAAUUCGAAAUUGUGGUUUCGAAGCAACGAUGAACAUGCCAGGCUGGGGUAUUGUCACUCAGGCCAACCGCAAUCAUGCCUUUUUUCUGCGUAUUUAUUCGGGUAUUUCGAAUUCUCCAAAUACGCGAUAAGUCCUUCCAGCCGUAAAACUCCCCGGAACAGGGACAACCGAUAGCCGAAUAUACUCCGAAGUUCGAGGGUAUGGAUAAAAGUUGGCGUGGUACAUUAGCGAGUUGAUAUUUGUCUCUGUGCAGAAUAUUAAUAAUAAUAUGUAAGUACAACAUACUUACAUAAAUAUGCAAAUGA